rnacentral:misc_RNA from 1 species
AAUCUCAACCAUUAGGGUUUCUUAAUGGCUUGGAUUUGGGUGUUGCCAGCUUGUCUGGCUCGCCUUAAAGGAGUUAGCGAGUAUAGCAAUGUCGUCUGGCGUAAUAAGUUUCGCUGGUUAGGCUUGUGAAGCACGCUUCUAAUCGCCCUUGGGCAAUUUUUGAA